AAAGUACUCCCUCCGUCCCAAAAUUCUUGUCUUAGAUUUGUCUAGAUACGGAUGUAUCAAGUCACAUUUUAGUAUUAGAUACAUUCGUAUCUAGACAAAUCUAAGACAAGAAAUUUAGGACAGAGGGAGUAGUUG
rnacentral:pre_miRNA from 1 species